AGCCUCUCGGCUCCGCUGGAUUACACGGGCCCAGUGUGUGGUUGGCAUAUUUUUAAGGGGGGGGGGGGGGAUUGGCCCUCCUAAUGCACGGCAGACUUGCCCCAAAGUGGCUUCUCUGUUCCUAGGAGUGCAACAGCU